AGUGGAUGUAGAAUGUGUGUAGUGGAUGCAGAGUUCGUGUGUUAAGUGGAUGCAGUGUGUUUAACAGAUGCUGUGUGUAUAGUGGAUGCAGAUUGUACAUUUGUGUAAUGUAUGAGGUGCAGGGCCGGCGCUACCUGUUAGGCGGACUAGGCAGCCGCCUAGGGCGCCCCUUGGGAGGGGGCGCCACCAGGAGCGCCGGGCCCGCUCAUGCUGCAGCCGCCCGAGCGCUCUGUAAAGAGCCUCGGGCGGCUGCAGCUUUUCCCGGGCGGUGCGUCCAUGAGGGCGGACCACACCGCCCGGGCGCAGCCUGAGGAGAGGCUGACAGGAGGGAAGCGCUCAGCGCUCAGCGCUCAGCGCUCCCUCCUGUCAGCUCCCUCACUGUAGCGUGGCCGAGCCUGGCAGCAUGGUCCGACGGGUACAGGGAGCAGCUGUCUCCUGUACCCAGCCGGACUAACAGGAAGUGAACACUGAGUGUUCACUUCCUGUUAGUCCGGCCGGGUACAGGAAACAACAGCUCCCUGUACCCGCGGACUAUACUGGGCUCGGCCACGCUACUACACAGGUAGGGGGGAGGGGAGAAGAAAGAAACAGAGAGGGAGGGAGGGGGGAGAAGAAACAAACAGAGAGGGAGGGAGGGGGGAGAAGGAAACAGGGAGGGAGGGGAGAAGGAAACAGGGAGGGAGGGGGAGAAGAAAGAUACAGGGAGGGAGGGGGGAGAAGAAACAGGAGGGAGGGGGGUGGAAAGAUACAGGGAGGGAGGGGAGAAGAAACAGGAGGGGGUGAAGAAAAGAUACAGGGAGGAGGGGGAGAAGAAACAGGAGGGGGGGUAAAUAAAAGAUACAGGGAGGGAGGGGGAGAAGAAACAAACAGAGGGAGGGGGGAGAAGGAAACAGGGAGGGAGGGGGGAGAAGAAAGAAACAGAGAGGGAGGGAGGGGGAGAAGAAAGAAACAGAGAGGGAGGGAGGGGGGAGAAGAAAGAAACAGAGAGGGAGGGGGGGAGAAGAAAGAAACAGGAGGGAGGGAGGGGAAGAAAGAGGGAGGGAGGGGGAAGAAGGAAACAGGAGGGAGGGGAAGUAAGAAACAGAGAGGGAGGGAGGGGGAAGAAAGAAACAGAGAGGGAGGGAGGGGGGAGAAGGAAACAGGGAGGGAGGGGGAAGAAAGAGGGAGGGAGGGGGAAGAAGGAAACAGGUAGGGAGGGAGGGGGGAGAAGGAAACAGGUAGGGAGGGAGGGGGAGAAGGAAACAGGGAAGGAGGGGGAAGAAAGAAACAGGGAGGGGGAAGAAAGAAACAGGGAGGGGAGGGGGGAAGAAAUAAACUGACGGGAGGGGGGAGAAAGAAACUAACAGGGAGGUGGGGGGAAGAAACUAACAGGGGGGGAACUAACAGGGAGGGGGGAGACAUUGACAGGGAGGGGAAUUGACGGGGAGAGAGAAAUUGACAGGGAGGGGGGAGUGACAGGGGAGGGAGGGGGAAUGAGAGUAACAAGGGAGGGGGGGAGAAGAGAGUGACAAGGGAGGGGGGGAGAAGAGAGUGACAAGGGAGGGGGGAGAGAUUGACAUCCAUCACACACACAAUCACACACAAUGCACCCCUUACACACAAAGACAAUGAACCCCUUGCACACAGAAAAACACACAAUGCAUUACACACACAAUGCAUUACACACACAAUGCAUUACACACACACACGCAAUGCAACCCUUACACACAAUGCAUCCCUUACACACACAGAAACACACAAUGCAUUCCUUACACACACUCAAUGCACCCCUUAAACACACUCAAAGCACCCUUUACAGACACACACUUCAUCCCUUACAUACACAGAAACACACCUUGCAGCCCUUACACAUACAAACACAGAUUCACACAAUGCAUUCCUUACACACAAAUCAGGACAUCCCCUACACACUCCACCCCCUGUGAACAAACUCAUUGGUGGAACAUGAAGGUGGACCCUGGGACCCAGAACUUGAGCUGUGUAAAGGGCCCCCAAAAAAUGGAGCUGCUUCUUGUUCUCCCAGAACAUUGAUUUUUGUGACCACAGUUACAAACAGCCUCCAGAGAUCCUGUUACAGGCCCGGACUGGCCAUCGGGCACACCGGGCAAAUGCCCGGUGGGCCGCGGUGGCCAUGGGCCGAGGCCGGCAGGGGAGCUCCCAGGAUCUCCCCUGCCGGUCUAUGCAGGGCCGGCACUAUCCGAGCGCCGGCCCCGCUGUUUUCCAUGAAGGGCCGGUGAGGGAAAUCAAAGAUCUCCCUCACCGGCCCACAUGCUGUAUAAUGCGGCCGCGGGCAGGGGGAGAGGGAGGAGACAGCCGCUAGGAGAGAGGACCCGGCGGAGCUCUAAAUUAGAACUCCGCCGGGUUCCUCUCGCGAGAUCCGGCGCGUUGCCAUGGCAACGACCGGAUCUCACCACAAGGACCACCAGGGAACCCCCCCUCCCAGUCCCAGGGAUCAGUGUGCCGGUCCCCCCCUCCCAGGCUAAAGGUAAGAAGGGAGGGGGGACAUAAUGCCUACUUUAUUUAUUUAACCCCCCUCCCCCCUACACACACAAUCCAUUCUAACAUUUAUACAGCACUCUUACACCCAUCACUCUCACACACAGCACUCUCUCACACCCAUCACUCUCACACACAGCACUUUCUCACACACAGCACUUUCUCACACACAGCACUCUCUCACACCCAGCACUCUCACACCCAGCACUCUCACACCCAGCACUUUCACACACAGCACUCACUCUCACACACAGCACUCACUCUCACACAGCACUCACUCUCACACAGCACUCACUCUCACACCCAUCACUCUCACACACAGCACUCUCACACACAGCACUCUCUCACACAGCACUCUCUCACACAGCACUCUCACACAGCACUCUCACACAGCACUCUCUCACACAGCACUCUCUCACACAGCUCUCUCACACAGCACUCUCUCACAGCACUCUCUCUCACACAGCACUCUCACAGCACUCACGCACUCUCACUCACGGCACUCUCACUCACUGCACUCUCACACACAUCAUACACAGCACUCUCACACUCAUCAGACACACACACAUCACACAGAGCACUCUCACACACCGCACUCUCACACACAUCACACACCACACCCCUCAGACACACAUACUGCACCCCUCACAUACACACAGAACCCCCUCAACACACUGCACCACACACAUACACAAUACUUCCAAAUAUAUAUUUUUAUAUAUAUAUAUACACACACACACUACACUCUUAACAUACACACUCUGGAUCCCCUAUACACACACUAGAUUCCUUGUAAGCAAACACAUACUACACCCCUAAACAUACACUACAUCACCUAUAUACACACACACACACACACACACACACGCACUAUAGCCUGUAUGCACACACUUGCUAUAUCCCCUAUACACACAUUCUCUACAGCCCCUAGCCACAUAUGCAUCACAUUACACCACAAACACAACAUGACUAAAACCAACCUUAUUACACAAUACCGCACCACAAUCAGCUCACGCAAUACCACAAGCAGGCUCCAAACACAUGCACAAUACUCUUUCCUGGCAUUUUUGUUUCCUGGUAUCUUUAUAGAGAAACCAGAGACAAUUUGCAAGGAAACACAGUGCAAGCAUGUUAUUAAAUUUGCUUGCACUGUGCAGAACAAAUACAGGGCUUUUUUGAUCAUGCUAGAGCUCUUCAGCAGAGCUCUGCGCAUGGUCUGCCCUGGAAGAGCAUUGAACCAACAUGCUCACUUUGAGAGGGGGCAUGUUUGUCAUUGGUGAUGACAAAACACACCUCCUCUGCCCCCGCCCCCUUCUUAGUGGGCCGCUGUGUUAAAAAAAUGCCCGGGCCGAAUUUUUCUCCCAGUCCGGCCCUGUCCUGUUAUACACCAGACCAGUGGAGCCAGACUGCAGCUAAAGCCCAUCAUCAUCCUCAUCUGCUUGUAAGUAGGUAAUCUAGUAUAUUAUUCAUGGCACUAAUCUCUAAUUUACCUCACAUUAAAGAAACACUAUAGUCCCCAGAACCACUGCAGCUUAAUGUAGUGGUCCUGGUGUCUAUAGCCUGUCCCUGCAGGCCUUUUAAUGUAAACACAGCGGCACUGAGGCACUAGCGUUAGUUAACAUGGCAGGUCAUAUGGGUGGGGCAUUGUGAUGUCACGAGGGGGGGGGGCGGCAAACUUUACUUUUGCCUAGGGCGGCAAAAAUCCUUGCACCGGCCCUGAUGAGGUGUAUAUUAGAUGCAGAGUGUGUGUUUGUGUAGUGGAUGUAGUGUGUGUUUAUAGUGAAUGCAGAGUGUGUAUGUGUGUUUGUGUAGUGGAUGUAGUGUUUGUGUGUAUUAAAUGUGAUGUGUAUAGUGAAUGCAGAGUGUGUGUUUGUGUAGUGGAUGUAGUUUGUG
rnacentral:lncRNA from 1 species